UCUUCCACUCAAAUUUUAGCAACCAGUUCCGCAGGCGUCUCAUCAACGAUAGCGAAUAGCACCAGUGAAAUGCUAUCUUCAUCUUUUGUUGCAGUGGAUUCUUCUUCAGUGUUUCCUACAGUUGUGUCUACAAGUGAAAUUCACCCUACUAGUUCCGCAGG